CCAUGACCAUACUAUCAUGAACACACCUGAUGUUGUCUGGUUUCAGAAGCUAAGUAGAAUCCAGCUUGGCUAGUCUUUCUAUGGGAGCCCUCAAGAAAUACCACAACUCUCCAGGGA
rnacentral:rRNA from 1 species